rnacentral:rRNA from 1 species
AUUGAACGCUGGCGGCAUGCCUUACACAUGCAAGUCGAACGGCAGCACGGGCUUCGGUCUGGUGGCGAGUGGCGAACGGGUGAGUAAAGCAUCGGAACGUACCCGGAAGUGGGGGAUAACGUAGCGAAAGUUACGCUAAUACCGCAUAUCCUGUGCGCAGGAAAGAGGGGGAUCUUCGGACCUCUUGCUUUCGGAGCGGCCGAUGUCAGAUUAGCUAGUUGGUGGGGUAAAGGCCUACCAAGGCGACGAUCUGUAGCGGGUCUGAGAGGAUGGUCCGGCACACUGGAACUGAGACACGGCCCAGACUCCUACGGGAGGCAGCAGUGGGGAAUUUUGGACAAUGGGCGCAAGCCUGAUACAGCCAUGCCGCGUGAGUGAAGAAGGCCUUCGGGUUGUAAAGCUCUUUCGGCCGUGAAGAAAUCGGUGAGGCUAAUAUCCUCACUGGAUGACGGUACCGGAAUAAGAAGCACCGGCUAACUACGUGCCAGCCGCCGCUGUAACAC